CCUACGGGUGGCAGCAGUGGGGAAUAUUGCACAAUGGGCGAAACCCUGAUGCAGCGACGCCGCGUGAGCGAUGAAGUAUUUCGGUAUGUAAAGCUCUAUCUGCAGGGGAGUAAAUGAAGGUACCUGACUAAUAAGCCCCGUCUAACUACAUGCCAGCAGCCGCGGUAAUACGUAGGGGGCAAGCGUUAUACGGAUUUACUGGGUGUAAAGGGAGCGUAGACGGUUCUGCAAGCCAGAUGUGAAAGCCCGGGGCUCAACCCCGAGACUGCAUUUGCAACUGUAAGGCUAGAGUGUCGGAGAGGCAGGCGGAAUUCCUAGUGUAGCGGUGAAAUGCUUAGAUAUUAGGAAGAACACCGGUGGCGAAGGCGGCCUACUGGACGAUGACUGACGUUGAGGCUCGAAAGCGUGGGGAGCAAACAGGAUUAGAUACCCUGGUAGUC
rnacentral:rRNA from 1 species